GGUGACUUGAAGCUUAUCAAUCAAAGCCACACCUGAAGAAAAAUCACUGGUAACCACUUUGGUGCACGAGCACAGCAUGGUGCUCUCCCACAAAUGCUGUAAAUAGGUAGGGUUUAGGUGUUGUUCUGUUUCUUUUCUUAUCUUCCUUGCCCAUACCCAUCCGUAUGAUGCGGAAUUCUUGGAAGUGGGAACAAUAUUAUUACUCUUUUAGUCAUUCUAAAGCUGCACUGAAAAUAGAAGCUCCUCGCUGCAGGUUGCAAAGUCCCAUUGAGCUGCCAGCUGUACAGUGGAAACUUCCCUAAGAUGUUUGCUGGUACCUGUGCCCUGGGCAUGUCAUCUGCUACAGAUCCCUCUUCCUCCAGACCUGUGCUGAGCUGGCUGCUUUCAGGGUGAAAUGCUGCUGAAACGUCAGAUUUUUAAGAGAACCUUUUCUUAGGACUCUGCAGGAUGCUCAGGAAUAUUGCAGGUGUAAAAAGAAAUUGUGAGUAGCUGGGAAAGUGCUGAUCAGGUGUCCCUGGCAGGUCCAGCUUUAACACGAACCAUAAUUUAUUACAUUAAAAAGUAACUGGACCGUGCAAGGUCCUUGUCCCCACUGGACACUGGUGGGUACCUGUGUUGUGGUGCUGGACCAGUGGGGAAUUCCAUGAGUUUCCCCCCACUUUCCAGUGUCAGGGGAGGCUGGAUUGACCUUGGGACUUCAUCAGCCUGUCUCCUGGAUGCAGGAGAACAUUCAAGUGCAGAAGGGGGGGGAUAGGUGGAUAUUUCCCUGCCAUGCUUUAAAUGGAGUUCCCUCUAGGUCAGGCGUGUAUCACCAGUGCUAAAUUUACUUCAAAAUAUUACUGAGGUGGGGAGGUUUGUGAGUCAGGUCUAUAAAAGCAUGCACUGCUUAUGUAAAGAAAUACAGCUUGGAAAGAGGCAGGAGGCUGGAGGGACUUGGGCUGCAGUGAGACCAUUCCUGGUGUGUCUCUGCCUUCUCAACAUAAAUAGGUCUUUGUAUUCGUGUAGCGACUGUGCCUUCAGGUUGUGUGUGUUCCUUACAGCAGGACUGAGGGAUCUGCUGGCCAGCUCUUCUUCUGUUUCCAAACAUCUCAGGAAAUGUAGAUAAUUUUUCAAGCCCACGCUCUGGCUUAGAUGAAAUUGUUUUAAAAUAAAAAACAAACACUGGGGGAUGAUCAAGUCUUGAUGCUUCAGGGUUGCUUCAGGUGGAGUUGUGCUGCGGUGCCUCUGGGAGGGGAAAGGAGGGAUGGGAAGGAUGUUGCUGUGGGGAUUUUGCUGUUUGGAUCUCUUUCAUUCAUUCAGGUGCCCAUGUCUGUGUGGUCUUGAACACGUGAGGUCCUGGAGUCAGCUGAGUCUGUGCCAGCAGAGCAUCUCUGUGCCUUUGCCAUGGCAGGUGUUGGCCACCCUGAACCACCACCACAUCCCAGGGGAAUGAGCUUCUCCUGUGCUUCCUCAGGGAAAGAUAUUCCUUAACUCAGCAGCCAAAUUCCUGCUGCAAUUGUCGUGCUGUUAAUGCUCUUGGGAGGGACGAAAGUGGAAGUGCUGUGCCUGAUGUCAGGGCCCACAAAGCUUCACUUUUGAUCCCUGCUGCUGCUGGUGGCACCUGCCUCCCCAUGUGUGUCCUGCUUCGCUGGGAGAGCGAAGGAAUUGUCCUCAGGAAGCUGCGAGACUGUUACCUCUG